UGUGUGUGCUCACACAAUAAUUAUUUUUUUUAACGAAAGUAACAGAAAUAGCCUUGACACCUAAAUCAGAAUAUCUUGCUAUGAGUUAAGCAUAGGACCCCCUUCCUUGCUUUUUCCUUACUAUUUUCAAUAACCUUCAAGGUUGAAAUAAUUCCAUAAUGGAGUUAAAAAAAAAUCCAGGGAGAAGAAAGACAGAACAUACAGUUUAGCUUUGCAUAAUUCUAGCAACCAGAACACAUUUCCUGAAAGUGACAGUCUUGCUCAUAGACAUGCCAAAACAAAAAAAUACAAAUCUAAAAUUUGAGCUGAUAACUUAGAUGGUGGCAGAGAUACCAACUUGUGAAAAGUCACAAUUUUGCAUUGUGCUGGGAAGCCACCUUCUGUGGGGGACUACUGUCACUCUUUAAUACCCAGCAGAGGAACCCCGCUGUGCUUUGUCGGUCAGGAGCAACAUCCAAGGCUCCCUGUAAAAGUAAUUCACACUUUUCUCACAACACUGUUGCUUUAAUUACCACUGAACUCUGUGGAUGCUCAGGCAGGCCUGGUAGGACAUGGCAGAGACAGAAGCAGAGGCAUAGAAAAAGCAAAUGGCUUUUCUUCUCCUUACUUCAUGAUUAGCAGCCCAUCUUUGAUGGAAUUGUUCCUAGUUCUGAAGGCUGGACUUAACUCCUUUCAGCAUAUUUAUUAUCAAGCGAUUCACAGGUGUGUGUGUGUGUGCGCGUGCACGUGUGUUUAAUGUGUGUGUGUGAGAGAGAGGGGGAAGAAGGGGGAGGAAUGGGGAAGGAGAGAAAGUUAAUUAGAAGGUUUGGUACUGAAUGAAUUUCUCAUCUUUCUUUUCCUGUUUUUGUAACAGAUACAAAUGUACUGAGACUUCAGUGUAUGUAUUCUUGGUGGACAAAUGUCAAUUUGUUUAUUUACUGUGGAUUUAUUUCUUCAGGAUUAGCAGACAUAGCAAAUCACAUACCAAAGAAAAUCACAGAAGUGCCAAAAUCUACUAGUGCAUGAAAAAUAAUAGACAGUACUAGUGCUUUGUAAAUAAUAUGAAGACAAUGUUGUAGGUUUAACAUGUAUGCAAACACACCUUUCAUUUUGCAUCACAAAAUACUUUGCCAAUAAAAUUAUUUCCCAUUGAACUGACUUCUACAAUCUCCUUCACAUAGAUUACCAGAGCAAGUAACUGUAACCUCAUGUGAACUUUUAGAGAUAUAAUAAACAGGGCCAUUAUCCUUAAUAAAUUAUUUAAAGGAUCUCUGAGUUUACUCUUGGCUCUAAAAUUUCAUGUUGAGAUAUAAUUUAAAGACUGGAGAGAUGGCUCAGAAGGUAAAAACCUUUGCUGAACACAUGAGGACCUGAGCUUGCAUGCCCAGAACCCAUAUAAAAAGCUAGGAAUGGCCAUGAGCAUCUAUGACUCCAGUACUGUGCAGUGCAGAGACAAGAAGAUCUCUGGGGCUUGCUUGAUUCCGGCUUAGCUGCAGAUAGAUAAGAGACCCUGUGACAGGGAAGGACACUCAAAAUCCUUAAGUGGCCUUUCUGUGUGCCCAGAGAUACACUCACUCACACACUCUACAAACACAAAUGUAACUUCAUAGAUCAUAUGUGGCCCUUAUCCAUAGCUUCUCCUGUAUUUAUCUUAUUAAAUUAUACACUCAUUACCAUGUGUGAUAAUGUGUCCUUCCUUGGAUCCAUAUUGUAAGAAAAGAUGAGCUCUCUGUAAGGUGAAUACCCAUGAGACAGCAAAGUCCAAACAAUUGAUGCUCAUUUAUUCAGUUAGAUGACACAGACACUGUGUAACAGAUUAAAAUUUUAAAUUUGGCUACAUCAGCUAGAUAUGGUGGGGCACACAUUUAACCCUAGCACUUGGGAGAUGGAGGCAGGAGGAUCCCUGUGAGUUCUUGGCCAGCCUGGUGAAUUCCAGGAAAGCCAAAGUUUCAGAUAAACAAACAAGUAAAUAGACUAUUUCAUUACAUAUUCCUGUUCACGUGUUUUUCUUCCAUUGUUAACAAAUGUGUUGAGGAUGAUCCACGGAUGUGUGAGUUCACAUUCUUCCACCUUAUGCCUGCCCAAAUCUUUAUACAAGCUUCAAAGAGAAAUAAUGAAGUAAAUGUGAGCUUUUAGGACCCAGCUUUCUCCUGGGCCGCCAUUGGGACCCUAGAAAUGAUUCAUCAGCAGUCUUGCUAUCCUCUACCCUGACAGCACAUAGAGGCAGGUGAUCCAGGAGCUACAGUGUAUCCAGACCCUGGCUGUCAGGAAGCACUGUGCCCUCAUUGCUGAUACACACACCAUGACACAGUAUAACCCACUUUGUACUACUACAUUUGGGACAAUUUGUAACUCAGAAGGAGUAGUUGUGACACCCAAUUUGGGGCAUUAGAAAUCAUAAUUAACUAUGAGAAAUUACUUUUCUACACUUUUUGUUUCAUUUUGUUUUGUUUUUUUUUUUUCAAGACAGGGUUUCUCCGUGUGUAGGCCUGGAACUCACUUUGUAGACCAGGCUGGCCUCCUGAGUGCUGAGAUCAAAGGCAAGCAUCACCACCAUCCAGUUUAUAUUCCUACUCUUAGACAUUUUAUAUACACUAUGGUUAUAAAACAGAAAAUACAGGCACUUUCAUGAUAUUGAUGAAAGCAUUCUGCUUU
rnacentral:lncRNA from 1 species